UACGUAGGGACCGAGCGUUGUCCGGAAUCAUUGGGCGUAAAGAGCGUGUAGGCGGCCUUUUAAGUCCUGCGUGAAAUCCUGCGGCUCAACCGCAGACGGUCGUGGGAAACUGGAAGGCUAGAGUGCGGGAGAGGAGAGUGGAAUUCCCGGUGUAGCGGUGAAAUGCGCAGAUAUCGGGAAGAACACCCGUGGCGAAGGCGGCUCUCUGGAACGCAACUGACGCUGAGACGCGAAAGCGUGGGAGCAACAGGG
rnacentral:rRNA from 1 species